CAGCCUUAGGCCUCUGGUCUAUGAAGAAAUGGUCACACUGGGCUUUUUAAUUCACAAAAGUCCAUUCAUCUAUGAUAUCUGGGGACGCACUGUGAUUUUUUUGGAGACACAGAAGAACAUUUGGUACUUCACACAUCUCAUAUUUGUUUUACUGUUGCACCCAAGCAUUCUGCACCUGAAAGGCCUGAAAGGCACGUGGACUGCACGUUAUUUUCCUAUACUCUCAUCUGGUUGGGGCUUCCUUUUCUUGAUUUCUGGAGAGAACGUAUUUAUCAGUUCCUCGUCCAAGAGGAGUUUGAACUCCAGGUACUGGGAGGAGUUGUUUUUGGAACUUCGGAGUUCUCUCUAAAGCCACGAGUUGGAGUAAAAGCUUCUCAUGUUUGUUUUUGUUUUCUUCAGGAUCUCAUUGCACUGCAUGAUAAUUUCAGCAUCCUCUUGUCUUAAGCAGGUACAGCAUGAUCAGCCUUAUUUUUAUUCAGAUUCUGGCAACAGAUGAAUGUUUUCAGCCAAGCCGCAGCUCUCCUAUUACUGCAGGUGGCAAAGUUCCUGGCUGAAGAAGUACGCCCCCUACUGGAGCCAUAUGAAGCUAAUUUGGACGUCAAGGUUGAGCUUGUGGUUUAAACCCUCUGCAGUCAGGGAUGUGCCAGCGUGUCUCAUGACUGAUUAAAGAUUUUUAUUAUUUUAUUUUAUAUUUUAUUUAUUAUUUAUUUAUUUUGUCCUUACAACUGUUUUUUUUAAAUGACUCAAACAAAUGCUUGAGGCACUGCCAACAUUUUAAUGUAAGCAGUUUUGUAAAACUUUUUCUUGGUAAAUGGUAAAUGGUUCUUAUACAACAGUUUUCUACUCUGAGUACUUUAGAAGUUGCAUUAUCGGCUUUUGGAAUUUUACAAUUUCAAGAAAUGAUAUUCACAUUUUAAAUUAUUGAACAAAUCAUUUUAUUUGUGGUUUUAACAAUUAAAAACUUUUUCUUACUUGGA